GGACUACACGGGUUUCUAAUCCCGUUUGCUCCCCUGGCUUUCGCGCCUCAGCGUCAGAAAAGGUCCAGCGCGUCGCUUUCGCCACCGGCGUUCCUAUUGAUAUCUACGCAUUUCACCGCUCCACCAAUAGUUCCACGCGCCCCUACCUCCCUCGAGACUGCCAGUAUCAAAAGCACUUUUCCGGUUGGGCCGAAAGAUUUCACCCCUGACUUGGCAGCCCGCCUACGCGCCCUUUAAGCCCAGUGAUUCCGAACAACGUUAGGACGGUUCGUCUUACCGCGGCUGCUGGCAC
rnacentral:rRNA from 1 species